UUCUCCACCUCGUGCCAUUGUGCUAACCUUUGUGCUAACGGGCAAAGUCCAUAAGGUAAAACCUCUUUGAGAUGAGCACAAACAAGUGAUGAGUGUGAGGGCGCAAAGAGACAAGAAGCCAUUCUAGAAGCUGCUUUGGUGACCGGAAGUGAUGAGAGUUGAGCGGCAACUUACCAGGUUGUAGCUGGUUGUGCUGAGUAGACUGAGCCUAUCAGAUUGACCAUAAAGACAUGGUAAGGCAGGAAAUAGGCUUCUCAGGAAAGUGUGACCUACUAGGAUGGAACUUGAGGUCAAGACAUCGCAAGCUGUGAUCACAGGGCUCUUGAAAGAUCAUCAGAACAUUCAGAGGCCCUUCAAGACCGGAGGAUCGAGUCUCAACAUGGGGAUGAGUGCUGGCGCAACUGGAGAGCUUUUGUUCUCAAAGGAAACUGUUGGUGUUGAAGAACAAAAGGAGCUUCUGUAGACAGGCUGGAAGGAUAAAAUAUUACCAAAUUGCCAUAUGAAGAUUCAAUGAGAAAGAAAAAUAAAGAGGCAAAAGUAUAGAAGCAAAGGAUUGUAGUGACAUGGUCCCUACCACUUCCCAGAAGCCAGAAGAGAUCUCUUCAUCCCUCAGGCAACCCAGUGCUGUGGAAUUUGUUCUUGGUAAAGAUGGUGAUAUUUGCUGGACUUCAACUGAUCAGUUGCCUCACUUACACUGGCACUGAGCAUUUAGGGGAGAAGGUCUCAGUAACUCUGCAGCCUCAGUAACUCUGAUGGGCCUCAAGGCAACUGGACUCAGCUCCAGGCUAGAGAACAGGCACAAAUGCGGUCCCGGCACAUCUUCUUCACCUUGGAAUACCAGGAUGACCAUGACACUGUCUUCCCAUGGCAGACAGAAGCACACGUGCAGGUUCUGGUCUGCAGCCAGAAAUGAGCGUGUCCAGCUAACAGCCUGUGUCUCAGGCCCUGCCAGGGGAUGAAUCAAUUAGUCGGAGAAACCAUGAUGCAAACGUCUGGGGUCACAUGGGAGGUUGUUUGCCUUCUUGAUAGAGAAAGCACACCAUAAAUAACAUCACACCUCAGGAAAUCAUUCCGGGAGGCCCAGAUGCUGGCGGGACUGCUGCCGGGACAGAGGGAAUCAUUGGCUCCUGUGUGUAUUUCCCCCAUCCUAGUCAAUGGAAGAUUUGUAGUAAAAUCAAAAUAUUUUAAAGGAGGACAGUGUGUGGUAACAGAGGCAUGUUUAGCCAUUUUUUUUUAGUACCAGAACCCAUGAUUUAUGACCUACAGUUACAGCCAACUUUAUUACAAAAAUGACUUCACCCAUAAUAACCUUAUUCAGGGCUCCUUGGAGAAUGAUGUAGUACCCCAAAGCAUUAUAAUCUAACAAAUAUUCACAAACAAUUCCCUCUGCUGUCCCUUCCCCCACUCAUUUGGAGCCAGGUGUCUGCCUUCACCUGCUGGGUGAACAAGGUCCCGGGCAAGGCUCUAUGGUCUUUCUGUGGAUUUGCCAGGCGGGAUGAUUAAAAUCACCCAGGACAGAGGCUGUCACUGAGCUUCCAGCCUCAUCUUCCCUGUCUUGUGCCCUGGGGCACAGCAAAGAGGACCCACUGACCUUCUCUCCUCCCUGCACAUUCCUGUCUCCCUCCCUCCCUCCCCCACUGAGAGCUCACAUACCCAGCAUCUGGGGGCAGCCUCAUGAAGUCCCCUCCUUUUUUAAUUGCCAUGGUAACAGACAGCUGAAUUAAAAUGGCCAGGGCUGGGUGUCCAAGCAAGGUCCCCUGGGUGUGCCAGGAUCUAGGAACUGGUCCUCCAUCUUAUUAAACUCAGGUGUCAGUUCCUAGCAGUUGUGUUAAAUUUACACCCUCCAAGUGGGUUAGCAGGAUUACAUGUCCAUUUGCAUUAAAACAGGUUUCUGUCAUUAAACUGCCAUACAAUAAGCUUCCUUGGGACAAAUUAAUGAGCUCUAAAUAUCAUCAAGUAGAAGUUCACUUCACCAAGACAGCCACCGUGGGGUUGAGGGGGUGACUGCUCACUGUCCUCACCCAAGAGAACCGUAAGUGCCAGCAAAAGAAGGGUCCCAUCCUGCUUCUCCAUGCAAGAUGAGUGUCAGGAUUUAGAGCACUCUGGGGAGCUGGGAGUUUCCCUCUCCCCAAGCCCUAGAGCUCAUUGCUUCCUAUUCCUUAUUCUGGGUGUGCUGUUAGCAUUGACCUUGUCUGAUGAAAUUCCCUGAACAACCAUGAGCUUCCAUGCCAAAGUGUCUCUGCUUCAUUCUUCUUAUCUUGUUUUCUGUCUGUCUUUGGGGACCAUCAAUCUGCAUGUAGUGUGGCCUGGGAACAGCAUGCAUGUAACACAGUACCAGAUGUAGCCACGGUGUGAGUCUCUGCUCUAAAAUGUCCUUCUGAGUAUUUGUCAGUUGACCAUUUGGCCCAUCAGUUGCAGGGCCUAUGCUCUGGGAUGCCGGUCCUUCUGGAAGCUCCUUUCCCAGCUAUCUAGAAGAUUUUUAAUGACAUUUAUUUGUAUGUGUGUGUAUGUGCACACAGGCACACACAGCCAUGUACCAUGGCACAUUUGUGGAGGUCAAAAGACAGCUUAGAGAAGUUGGUCCUCUAUGUGGAUCCUGGGACUCAAACUCAGCUUGCUGCACUUGGCAGAAGGCACCUUUGAUCACUGAGCCAUCUUGAAAUCCCCUAGGAAGGCCUUCUUUUAAGGCUGCAUCCACCCCAUUCACAAGCAUAGCCAGUGCUUGCCAUCACAAAUGCAUACUGUGUAUAAGUAGAAAUUAUCCACAAAUAACCAAUAAAUAAAGCCCCAAGUCUUCUCUUAGGUAGAAGAGGUAAGACAGGCUGCUAGAUGGACUUCCUGCAUCACACUAUGAUCUCAUUUCUGUGUAGCCUUAACAGGGGACAGUAAUGUAUGAUUGAGACACUGCUAUAUUUAGGAAUGACAAGAUGGGCAUUAUUAAUAGCUUAAUUGACAUUAAGGCAAUUACCCCUACCCUUAUUACAGUUUGUAGAAUUACUCAGAAAAUAUUGGCUGAGGCCUUUCUUUCCCUAGAGCUACCCAAGGAUAUAGCAUUUUAUUUCAUGCCAGAUCUCGGCUUUGACAUUAGAUACUUAGCCAUAGAAUGAUUCCAGUAAAUCAUUAUAAAUGCAUUAUAAUAAAGAUGUUAUGAGCUAUCAGAUAUUAACCCCCAACCCCUAAAGAGAGAUAAAUAGUUCAGUUGCAUGAUUCCCACUUUUGUUUCAUAAGAAAUAAGCUUUUGCAAAGAGCAACUGACUAAUGAAUUAUAAAAUGGUGUGUUGAGCUCAGAUAAUUAAACAAUGCAUUUUAGUGUCUAGUGCAAGAUGAACACUAAAUCAUACACAGAUAAAAAAGGGAGGGAGAUCUAAACCCAGGCCCAAUUCCUAGUCUCAAAUACAGUUAAGGUUGGUCUAUAAUGCAGAAGUGCUUAAGACCUUUUCUCACCAAAUAGAAGAUCAAGAUACAAAUGGAUAAACUCAGCCAAGAGACAGAACAAGAACUCUGGAGCUGUUAAUUUCAGAUAAGCCUACAAGGCUAUUUUAAAGGAGAUUUUACAGGGUGAUUACCUUUUUAUCCCCCAAAGUGCUAAUGGGCCAAAAAUGUAAGAACCUAGAAGUUUCUAAGUUUCCUCAUACUUUACAACUUUUCCUUUUGAUCUCUGAAGCAUAUUGGUGGAGAUUUCAGCAGAUGAGGGUAAAAACCAUGGUGUUGGUGGUUGUCCUGGCCUUGAAGCAUGCACUAAACACUGUUGUGGAGGUGGAAUGAUGAGGCCAGUAUGAGUUACAACUGCUAUGCUCCCAACAAGGACAUUUUUCUCUGGCUUGGCCACCCAGAUUGGUCUGUUAAAUAUGUGUUUUAGUCACCCCUCUUAGAAGUGAAGCUUCAUACUUCUAAGAACCUGAAGUUAGAAUGAAAAGUGCCUCAGAUUACACAGGGACAACGAUUGACCACCCAUGGUAGUGGACAGGCUUCUGUAGAAUCCUGGUCCAUCGUGAAUACUCCGCAUUUCCUGUGCUCUAGCUAUUCUGGACACUGCAACCUGAUUCUCCUUUCACAUCCCAACCACUGGUCUACCCAUCGCAUCACGUAGACAUAGUUGGGCCAUAUGAAGGCCUAUUCAUGCAAAAUAAUUAUUAUAAAGUAAGUCCACUACUAUAUGCUAUCUCCUUUUAUUUUAUUAACUCAUUUUUUCUUAUUCUAUGUCUUUCCUUACACUUUCUCUUCAUGUCUAAGCCAUACCCCACACACACUG